rnacentral:tRNA from 1 species
GGAUUGUGGCUCAGUAGUAGAGCACUUGCCUUGCAUGUGUGAGGCAUUGGGUUCAAUUCUCAGCACCA